CGCGAUUCACAUCUCAACCGAAAUAUUUGUAAAGCGAUACGAACGAGUUACGAGAUGAAAUCCGCAAUGUUUAAAAACGCGAUUCAUAGCACACAUACUUUGAUCUCGUUUUCAUAUCGCUAGUUCGUAUUUGGAUGGCUUGAGUGAAAUGAAUGAAACUAUAUUUUUUUUAAUUGCCAUGCAAAAAUUAUAAAUACUACCACUAAUUGUUUUAAAUAAUUUUGUUCCUACAAUAUAUUUUGUUGGAAUUAGUGUCGAUAGCAAGUAUCAAGAAACUGCUUUUUAAUUCAACGUUGAAGAAAUUCAUAACCUGUGGCACUUUUGACAGCCGCCAUGUUUUCUCCAUAAAAACAUUGAUUUUCUUUGCUCAUUUUCGUGUCAACGUAGUUUUUUUGGAAAAUAAGAAGAAAGGAAGUUUAACUUACUUAGAGAAAUACGACUGAGACAUAAACACAAGCAGCAGCCGAUGUGCUUGAGUAGCAGAAGGAGCAACUGCGUUGUGAGAGGGCCACGGCUUCAGCCCUCACAAUGAUAGCUGAUUAGCUGAAGUAAUGAACAGACAGGCUGCAGUCAAUGAGAGGCUUCUUGAGGAGGUGUUCCUCAUAUGGAAAUCAUUUUAGCGGCGACGCAGUUGCGCGA